GUGAAUAGUACCAACCCAGCGGGGGAGGAUCCUUGCCAUCUUGUCGUGGUUGGGCCUUUUUCCGAAUGGGCCCAUUUUUCACAAACACCCAGUGCACCUGUCGGAUAGUGGAGGGGCAGCCCCGGGCCGCGCGAGCCUUGGUGGAAUAUAUCCUCUGUGAUGCCGACGAAUUUUAACACACACCGCGAGUCAAAUGAGAAUGUCUAGAAUACGCGUGUCUUUACACACACACAUAUA
rnacentral:misc_RNA from 1 species